UACGUAGGGUGCAAGCGUUGUCCGGAAUCAUUGGGCGUAAAGAGCUCGUAGGCGGCUUAGUAAGUCGGGCGUGAAAACUCUAGGCUCAACCUAGAGACGCCACCCGAUACUGCUAUAGCUAGAAUCCAGUAGGGGAGUGUGGAAUUCCCAGUGUAGCGGUGAAAUGCGCAGAUACUGGGAGGAACACCAGCGGCGAAGGCGGCACUCUGGGCUGGUAUUGACGCUGAGGAGCGAAAGCGUGGGUAGCGAACAGG
rnacentral:rRNA from 1 species